rnacentral:rRNA from 1 species
UACGUAGGGCGCAAGCGUUGUCCGGAAUUAUUGGGCGUAAAGAGCUCGUAGGCGGCUUGUCACGUCGGGUGUGAAAGCCCGGGGCUUAACCCCGGGUCUGCAUUCGAUACGGGCUGGCUAGAGUGUGGUAGGGGAGAUCGGAAUUCCUGGUGUAGCGGUGAAAUGCGCAGAUAUCAGGAGGAAUACCGGUGGCGAAGGCGGCCUUCUGGACCAGUACUGACGCUGAGGCACGAAAGCGUGGGGAGCAAACAGG